rnacentral:rRNA from 1 species
UACGGAGGGGGCUAGCGUUGUUCGGAAUUACUGGGCGUAAAGGGCGCGUAGGCGGCGCGGUAAGUCACUUGUGAAAUCUCUGAGCUUAACUCAGAACGGCCAAGUGAUACUGCAGUGCUAGAGUGCAGAAGGGGAAAUCGGAAUUCUUGGUGUAGCGGUGAAAUGCGUAGAUAUCAAGAGGAACACCUGAGGUGAAGACGGGUUGCUAGGCUGACACUGACGCUGAGGCGCGAAAGCCAGGGGAGCAAACGGG